GGGUUGUGAGGUUAAGCGACUAAGCGUACACGGUGGAUGCCCUGGCAGUCAGAGGCGAUGAAGGACGUGCUAAUCUGCGAUAAGCGUCGGUAAGGUGAUAUGAACCGUUAUAACCGGCGAUUUCCGAAUGGGGAAACCCAGUGUGAUUCGUCACACUAUCAUUAACUGAAUCCAUAGGUUAAUGAGGCGAACCGGGGGAACUGAAACAUCUAAGUACCCCGAGGAAAAGAAAUCAACCGAGAUUCCCCCAGUAGCGGCGAGCGAACGGGGAGGAGCCCAGAGCCUGAAUCAGUGUGUGUGUUAGUGGAAGCGUCUGGAAAGGCGCGCGAUACAGGGUGACAGCCCCGUACACAAAAAUGCACAUAUUGUGAGCUCGAUGAGUAGGGCGGGACACGUGGUAUCCUGUCUGAAUAUGGGGGGACCAUCCUCCAAGGCUAAAUACUCCUGACUGACCGAUAGUGAACCAGUACCGUGAGGGAAAGGCGAAAAGAACCCCGGCGAGGGGAGUGAAAAAGAACCUGAAACCGUGUACGUACAAGCAGUGGGAGCACGCUUCGGCGUGUGACUGCGUACCUUUUGUAUAAUGGGUCAGCGACUUAUAUUCUGUAGCAAGGUUAACCGAAUAGGGGAGCCGAAGGGAAACCGAGUCUUAACUGGGCGUUAAGUUGCAGGGUAUAGACCCGAAACCCGGUGAUCUAGCCAUGGGCAGGUUGAAGGUUGGGUAACACUAACUGGAGGACCGAACCGACUAAUGUUGAAAAAUUAGCGGAUGACUUGUGGCUGGGGGUGAAAGGCCAAUCAAACCGGGAGAUAGCUGGUUCUCCCCGAAAGCUAUUUAGGUAGCGCCUCGUGAAUUCAUCUCCGGGGGUAGAGCACUGUUUCGGCAAGGGGGUCAUCCCGACUUACCAACCCGAUGCAAACUGCGAAUACCGGAGAAUGUUAUCACGGGAGACACACGGCGGGUGCUAACGUCCGUCGUGAAGAGGGAAACAACCCAGACCGCCAGCUAAGGUCCCAAAGUCAUGGUUAAGUGGGAAACGAUGUGGGAAGGCCCAGACAGCCAGGAUGUUGGCUUAGAAGCAGCCAUCAUUUAAAGAAAGCGUAAUAGCUCACUGGUCGAGUCGGCCUGCGCGGAAGAUGUAACGGGGCUAAACCAUGCACCGAAGCUGCGGCAGCGACGCU
rnacentral:rRNA from 1 species